UGGGGAAUAUUGCACAAUGGGCGCAAGCCUGAUGCAGCCAUGCCGCGUGGGUGAAGAAGGCCUUCGGGUUGUAAAGCACUUUCAGCGGGGAGGAAGGCGUUAAGGUUAAUAACCUUGGCGAUUGACGUUACCCGCAGAAGAAGCACCGGCUAACUCCGUGCCAGCAGCCGCGGUAAUACGGAGGGUGCAAGCGUUAAUCGGAAUUACUGGGCGUAAAGCGCACGCAGGCGGUCUGUCAAGUCGGAUGUGAAAUCCCCGGGCUCAACCUGGGAACUGCAUUCGAAACUGGCAGGCUAGAGUCUUGUAGAGGGGGGUAGAAUUCCAGGUGUAGCGGUGAAAUGCGUAGAGAUCUGGAGGAAUACCGGUGGCGAAGGCGGCCCCCUGGACAAAGACUGACGCUCAGGUGCGAAAGCGUGGGGAGCAAACAGG
rnacentral:rRNA from 1 species